rnacentral:rRNA from 1 species
UACGUAGGGUGCGAGCGUUGUCCGGAAUUAUUGGGCGUAAAGGGCUCGUAGGCGGUUUGUCGCGUCGGGAGUGAAAACCCAGGGCUUAACCCUGGGCUGGCUUCCGAUACGGGCAGACUAGAGGUAUGCAGGGGAGAACGGAAUUCCUGGUGUAGCGGUGAAAUGCGCAGAUAUCAGGAGGAACACCGGUGGCGAAGGCGGUUCUCUGGGCAUUACCUGACGCUGAAGCGCGAAAGCUAGGGGAGCAAACGGG